rfam:Glomerella graminicola M1.001 genomic scaffold supercont1.6, whole genome shotgun sequence.
GGCCGGUUGGCCCAAUGGCAAGGCGUCUGACUACGACUUAAGAUCUCAAGUUAGUGAUCAGAGGUUGUGUAAUCAGGAGAUUCUGGGUUCGACCCCCAGGCUGGUCA